AUGAGCUGUCGUGGCCAAGUGGAGCUACGGCAAGCCACUUGGUCCUUAAAGGUUGUGAUUGAUCAUUUUUGCCAGCCAACUAGUCAAACAACAUAACUGUCCACGGAGUCAAGUGAAGAUAGUCAAGCGAUAAAUAUUCUCAGAAUGAGUAGUGGCAGGUGUAGUGUGCAGUGGGGGGGUCUGCUCCUCCUGUCCUGCUGUCUGCUAUGUGUUGACUCUCAGGUGGAGCCACAGCAGCAGCAGCAGCCCCCCCCGCCGGUCAUAGAGAGUGGAGCCUCCAUAUCUGGCCACGCUCACGGCCGCCUGGACAGAACCAUGGUCCAGGACAAAGACCACAUCAUGGAGCAUUUAGAGGGAAUGAUAGACAAACCAGAGAAAGAAAUGACACCCCAGGAGCUUCAGCUGCACUAUUUCAAGAUGCACGAUUAUGAUGGCAACAACCUGCUGGAUGGGCUAGAGCUAGCCACAGCUAUCUCACAUGUACACAGAGAGGAGAGAGGAGAGAACAGCCAGCCAUUGAAAGAGGAGGACCUUAUCACUCUCAUUGAUGAUGUUCUGAAGGACGAUGACAAGAACAAUGACGGUUACAUAGAUUAUGCAGAGUUUGCCAAAUCACUGGAGUAAGAUGUCACCUGAGAACUUACAAGCUUCAUACCAACAACAACAACAACAACAACAAGGAAUCUGCCGAGAAGAGAAGGCCAACUGAGCUGACUGCCUUUUUGGUUAGUUUGGUUCUGGUGUAUGCUUACAGUACACUUGCAGUGACAUUUCUGCGCCUUCUGUUUUCGUAGGUUCCUUGAGAUCAUGCCUUUUUUCUGAAGGGUCAGUUCACCAAAUAUCACUAUUUUUUUUCCCCUAAACCCCUCAUGGUAUCUAACCAUGGAUAUAUACUUUUAGUUCUUUUUGAGAUUUAGACAUCUCUGCGGUGACUUCUGCCAAAAGGCCUAAAAAAUAAAAGCCCAAAACCUUUAUUGGGAACUAGUACAGUUAUCAAUGAAGUGGUAGCAGAGGUCUCAGUGGCAGGUAUCCUGGCUAAUAAAACCCAAUCCAUCUGCAUGGCUACCGUAGGGGAAAGUUAGGAAUAAAAAAUAUGGGUUUUUUUUGUAAUUUUGUAUGAUUAGCCCUUUCGUAUGUACAGCAGCUCUAUAGUGUGUGUUCUUCUGUUAGUGGUGCUACCCUGAAUUUACUCUGGUAGCCCAAAAGCAUCUCAACAGAAUGUCAUCACUUUAAAUGGACCACAGUUUCCAUUUGAAACUCUGUGCAUACUGGACUCAAGCAGACACACACUUAUUUACAGUAGCUUACACACUGUCACUGUGUGAUACUCAAAAUGGUGGACCAAAUGAUUCUGUCUGGGAAUCCUUUUCAUUUGCUGUUUGUGAUGAGGCAAACGGGUUGUUCUCAUGACUUGGGAAAGUGGCCUUGACUUGCUGUGUGUGUGUGUGUGUGUGUGUGUGUGUGUUUACAAGCAGAACAACACGUUGAAUGUUGCCAGCAGAGACUCCAUGCAGCAUAAAUGGCACCUCCUGAGGUUGUAUUUGCUGUUGUUUUCAUGAAGAUUAACACAAUUAUAUGAGCCAAUCACCAUCAUCUUCACUGUGGUCGGCGAGCCUGCUAAUACUUAAAAUCUAACGCCAUAGAGUGAAUGUAAAGCAGCGCCGUACUGCUGGUUCUUUAUCACUGUAUAAGCUAGACUUAAAGCACACUGGUUGAUGCUGCUGCCAUUGCAAUUGUUUAAAAAGCUGGCAUAGCUUCAUGGGUUUCUUGUUAUAACCUCAACACACGUUUGCUUCCAAUCAUUAGCUGCCUUUAAAACAGAUACGGAUCAAACCCGUCAUGUCUGUGUGUGUGUUAAUGUUUGUUAAAUCCAUCUGUGUGAGAUGGAUGAAUGAAUUCUAUAUUUUUGCCAUCCAGUAUUGAUUCUUCAAUCUGUUCAGGUUGUUGAUUAUAUUCAAACAAACAAA